GACGAACGCUGGCGGCGUGCUUAACACAUGCAAGUCGAACGGAAAGGCCCUUCGGGGUACUCGAGUGGCGAACGGGUGAGUAACACGUGGGUGAUCUGCCCUGCACUUUGGGAUAAGCCUGGGAAACUGGGUCUAAUACCGAAUAGGACCACGCGCUUCAUGGCGUGUGGUGGAAAGCUUUUGCGGUGUGGGAUGGGCCCGCGGCCUAUCAGCUUGUUGGUGGGGUAAUGGCCUACCAAGGCGACGCCGGGUAGCCGGCCUGAGAGGGUGACCGGCCACACUGGGACUGAGAUACGGACCAGACUCCUACGGGAGGCAGCAGUGGGGAAUAUUGCACAAUGGGAGCAAGCCUGAUGCAGCGACGCCGCGUGAGGGAUGACGGCCUUCGGGUUGUAAACCUCUUUCAAUAGGGACGAAGCGCAAGUGACGGUACCUAUAGAAGAAGCACCGGCCAACUACGUG
rnacentral:rRNA from 1 species